AUUGAACGCUGGCGGCAGGCCUAACACAUGCAAGUCGAACGAGUGGCGGACGGGUGGGUAAGUUCGGGGAAACGGCCGGAUGGAGGGGGAUAACAACUGGAAACGGUAGCUAAUACCGAAUACAAUCAGAUGUGCCCAGAUGGGAUUAGCUUGUUGGGGGGGUAACGUUCCACCAAGGCGACGAUCCCUAGCUGGUCUGAGAGGAUGACCAGCCACACUGGAACUGAGACACGGUCCAGACUCCUACGGGAGGCAGCAGUGGGGAAUAUUGCACAAUGGGCGCAAGCCUGAUGCAGCCAUGCCGCGUGUAUGAAGAAGGCCUUCGGGUUGUAAAGUACUUUCAGCGGGGAGGCGUUACCCGCAGAAGAAGCACCGGCUAACUCCGUGCCAGCAGCCGCGGUAAUAC
rnacentral:rRNA from 1 species